UCUAGUAGAAAGCACUACAGAAUUUUUUUUUCUAAACCUUGGGGUUUGAUAUAGUACUUCUUUGCAGUCUUGCUAUUAGACACCAUGUUAAUACACUGAAUAAAACUGAAUAACAUAGAAUUGCAACUUCAAAGUUUAGACAAGGCAGGGCUGGUUCUAGGCAAACAUAUACAUCAUGAAGUGAAUAACAUCGAUCAUCUCGUUAUAACACAGUGUUCUGCUGAGGAACCUUUGGUCCUGACAUUCAUUUGGACGUUACCAUGUCACGUACCACCCUCCUAAAUAUUGUCACAAACCAAGCACACACUCCUCCAAUGGCAACAACACUUCCCAAUAUUAGAGGCCUCCCCCAGCAGGAUAAUGAUCCCACCACACCACAAAAGCUGCCGAACUGCAGAAAUGUCUCCAGGAUCACGACAAAGGGCCCAAGGUGUUGAUCUGGCCUGAGUCGACUGGCCAAUCAGUGUUAUUCUGCCAAUGUUAGCUGACGUAUGUCGUAAUUGGCUGCAACGUGUCUCAUCAUUGGCCACGGGCCUUCUGGGGAGGAGCGCGGAAAGAGGCGGAGAAACGAAGUUGGAAAACAGUUUUAAGCCAAGUCUGAAACGUGACUUCUGUUUGCCAGUACUACGACAAACGGCGUUAUCGAGGAGGUGUGGGUGCUAAAACAAACUGGAGCUGCUUUUUUGUCGAACUCAAGUGAGACUGGACGUUGUACACAUCUGCGGCGCGAAGGUUUACUUGUUCAGGUGCUUCAGCCUGGACAGAAACACCAGCUCUCACCUUAGAAACCAAACAGGUGUCACCACUUCAUCCAUGACAUCAUCCAUGAUCGCCAAGACAUUGUCCACAAUCACAGAGACAUAGUCCAUGAUUGGAGAGACAUUGUUGAGGUUGAGGGAGACAUCGUCCACGAUCAGAGACAUAGUCCGUGACUUGCAGAGAGUCUUCAUACAAUGAAGAAGUUCUUUGAGACCAGGACAGAGUCCUCCAGGUAUCACCACUUCGUUCAUGACAUCGUUGAGACGUUGUCCACGAUUGCAGAGACAUGGUCCAUGAAGGAGAGACAUUGUUGAGGAUGAGGGAGACACUGUCCACAAUCGCAGAGUGUCUUUGUACAAUGAGGAAGUUCUCUGAGACCAGGACUGAGGCCUCCAGGUAAUUCACAAACAGUUUUACAUCAACUGUCCAACACAGAGCACUGACAUUAAAUUGUUUAUGUUCAGUAUUCAGUAUAUCAGAAAAGUGCAACAAGAGAAGUAAUCUGUAUUAAUAGAAGUAAUGUUUAAAUACCGUAAUUUACAGACUAUUGAACGCACCUGAAUAUAAGCCACACCCACUAAAUUUAAAAAGGAAAAAAAGUACAUAUAUAGGCCGCACUUGUCUAUAAGCCGCAGGUGUCUCCAUUGUAACGAGGUAUUUACACAUUCAGGCUGCCAUCUCAAACGUCUCACCAUCGAUUCAUUGAUGCCAAGCUUACAUCCAGCAGCUCUAUUUCCUUUUUCGACAGCUAGAUCGAUUGCCUCUAUCUUAAAAGCUGCAUCAUAUACAUUUCUUUGUGUAUUUUCCAAGAUGAAGGUUUGUGCAUUAAGCACAAAAUGACUGAUGUGAGGAAUUUAGGAUUUAGUGUGAGUGCGUUUGAUCUAAUUCAAACAGUUUCAUUGGUCUGAUGUGACGAGGCUAAAUGUUUUGGCGGCAUGAAGCUUGUUAGCCUGUAAAAAUCUAUAAAUUAGUUGCAUCAUUGUUUAAGCCGCAAGGUUCAAAGCAUGUGAAAAUAGUAGCGGCUUAUAGUCUGGAAAUUGCGGUAAUUAGCAAUAUCAGAAGUAAGAUGUAAUAGUCAAAGUAAUUUGUUACUAGAUGUAGUUUGCAACAGUAAAAGUUAUUUAGAAGUAAUAAGUAAUAUAUAAUGUAAAGGCAAUCUAUUAUUAGAGAUAACAGUAAAAGUAAUCUGAAGCAAUGCAGAAGUAAUAGUAAUUCAAAAUAGAAGUAAAAAUGUCACGUUAUAGUAAGGCAUCAAAAACACCACAUUACAGUCUGGUCAAAAAUGUCAAAAACGCCAGAGUGUAGUAAAGCAUCAAAACUGUCAAAGAAUGUCAUAGUGCAAUAAGGUGUAAAAAUGUAAUCGUAUAGUAAGGCAUAAAAAAUAUCUGUGUAUUUUGUCAUUAAAAGAGAUUUAAAAAUAUGUUAUUUUACUAAAAUUAUUUUUACUUAAUAACUUAGCCUUAGUCAAGUAAUUUCUGAAAAGAAAUAUUAGGAAAGGUAAAAACAGUCUCUCAUAGGUUUGGAAUUUAAAUUUGUUUUCCUGUAUCUAUUACAUGGUUCAUGCUUAUCAUUUAUUGAUCCGUCUCUGUGAUUAACAUGUGUUCUUGUCUCUGCAGGAGGAGAAGAUAACAGCAGCUGAGGACCUGAAGUGGAUGAAAGAAAACAGUGUUACAAAGCUGUUGACUACACAAAAGACCUCAACCAUCUAACUGCUGUAAAGUCUUGAUUUCCUGUUCAGUCUUUAUUAAACACCUGUGAGAACAUUCAACUGCUUAUGAUACAACUACUUAAUUAAUAAUUGUAUCACAAGCAGUUAAAUGAUGACAAAGACACCUACUAGACAUGUUCAUCUUUGGAAAAUGUGCUCAUAACAACAUUAACCCUAACCACCUCUAACAAGUGUUCCCUUGUGGUUAAAUGUCACAAAUGUCAUUAUCUUUGCUGUGAUUUGUUAAAUGUUGUCUGGAAUAAAAUCAUUAAAAUUGU